GAUGAACGCUGACAGAAUGCUUAACACAUGCAAGUCGAUGGGGAAGUGGUGCUUGCACCAUGGUAACCAUGGCGGACGGGUGAGUAACGCGUAAGGAACUUGCCUGCGGGACUGGGAUAACAGCAGGAAACUGCUGAUAAUACCGGAUAAGGUCAUUAAGCUGCAUAGCUUAGUGAUGAAAGGAGACGCCUGCGGAGAGCCUUGCGUCCUAUUAGCUAGUUGGAGGGGUAACGGCCCACCAAGGCGAAGAUAGGUAGCCGGCCUGAGAGGGUGGACGGCCACAAGGGGACUGAGAUACGGCCCUUACUCCUACGGGAGGCAGCAGGGGGGAAUAUUGGACAAGGGGGGCAACCCUGAUCCAGCAAUUCUGUGUGCACGAAGACGGUUUUCGGAGUGUAAAGUGCUUUCAGAAGGGAAGAAGGAAGUGACGGUACCUGCAGAAGAAGCGACGGCUAAAUACGUG
rnacentral:rRNA from 1 species